UCCACUGACGCCAGUCUGUGAAAGCUGUUGCUGUUGUCGCGGUGCGUUGAGAGAGACGCACAUCGGCGCGUUUGAUUGGGGAUGUGCGUGAUUUACCCGCGUCCAGAUCACCGGAACGCGUGCAGGUGUGUGUGACGGACAUCAUCAUGCUCAAAGGCUCUCGGUGAUCCGCUCCUUCCCAUGAUUCCUCACCAGGCCGCCCCAUGCCAACCCGUAACCAUGACGACCACUCGCCCCCGUGAGCCCCUCCGUCGCCCGGCGGCCGUUUGACUGGAUGAGGAACCCGGCCUCCAGUGAUGUGAUGCACAGGUUUGAGGUUCUUGGGAUUGUGGGGGAAGGAGCGUACGGGGUCGUCCUGAAGUGCAGACACAAGGAGACUAAUGAGAUCGUGGCCAUUAAGAAGUUUAAGGACAGUGAAGGUGAGUCUCCUGCUCAUCAGUGAACACUAGUCCUUC